GACGAACGCUGGCGGCGUGCUUAACACAUGCAAGUCGAACGGAAAGGCUCCAGCUUGCUGGCGUACUCGAGUGGCGAACGGGUGAGUAACACGUGGGUAAUCUGCCCUGCACUCUGGGAUAAGCCUGGGAAACUGGGUCUAAUACUGGAUAUGACCUUUCUCCUUAUGGGGUUUGGUGGAAAGUUUUUCGGUGUAGGAUGAGCCCGCGGCCUAUCAGCUUGUUGGUGGGGUGAUGGCCUACCAAGGCGACGACGGGUAGCCGGCCUGAGAGGGUGAUCGGCCACAUUGGGACUGAGAUACGGCCCAGACUCCUACGGGAGGCAGCAGUGGGGAAUAUUGCACAAUGGGCGGAAGCCUGAUGCAGCGACGCCGCGUGAGGGAUGACGGCCUUCGGGUUGUAAACCUCUUUCAUCAGGGACGAAGCGUAAGUGACGGUACCUGCAGAAGAAGCACCGGCUAACUAUGUG
rnacentral:rRNA from 1 species